rnacentral:rRNA from 1 species
AUUGAACGCUGGCGGCAGGCCUAACACAUGCAAGUCGAGCGGAUGAAGGGAGCUUGCUCCUGGAUUCAGCGGCGGACGGGUGAGUAAUGCCUAGGAAUCUGCCUGGUAGUGGGGGAUAACGUCCGGAAACGGGCGCUAAUACCGCAUACGUCCUGAGGGAGAAAGAGGGGGAUCUUCGGACCUCACGCUAUCAGAUGAGCCUAGGUCGGAUUAGCUAGUUGGUGGGGUAAAGGCCUACCAAGGCGACGAUCCGUAACUGGUCUGAGAGGAUGAUCAGUCACACUGGAACUUAGACACCGUCCAGGCUCCUACGGGAGGCAGCAGUGGGGAAUAUUGGACAAUGGGCGAAAGCCUGAUCCAGCCAUGCCGCGUGUGUGAAGAAGGUCUUCGGAUUGUAAAGCACGUUAAGUUGGGAGGAAGGGCAGUAAGUUAAUACCUUGCUGUUUUGACGUUACCAACAGAAUAAGCACCGGCUAACUUCGUG